GACUCAAACUAGAUUUAUUUUAGAAAACAAACUUAGAGGCAUUUGUUCACACGUGGCUGAAUAGGAGGCCGUCCAAUCAGAUUUGAGGUCUUCACUCUGUAGGUUGGUUGUUUGGUGAGACUCUUGGACCUCCAUCCAAGAUGUUUGAUGGUCUUCCUCUCUAGUGCCAGAUGAUUCAUCCAUGAAUUCAGCAGCUACAGACUGAAAUGAAGCUCAUGCUGCUGUUAUUGAAUUCCUGUUCCAGAUCAAAUGUUCAGAGUUCACCUUGAAUGCAGCCGUCUGCUGUCUGAUAGUUUUUCUCAUUGUAGUCUUCAAUAAAGUCUUUUUCCUCAUGUCAGGAUGUGGUGAGACUCUUUCUCAGUCUCUGCAGACGUCCCUCAUUGUUCAUCUCCAGAGAAGAAACAGAAAAACUGAUCACUGCUUCAGCAUCACAAACGCUCUCCAGCACAGAGUGUUUUAGGAAUUUAUUCAUUGUGUUGUGAACUUUGAAGGAGCAGAAACUUUAGAGCUGCCAAAGAUAUGAGCUCCAAUUCUGGAUGUUUUAGGAAAUGAAGUUCAUCAAAUGAACACUUGAUUUUUGCUGAUAACUCUCAUUAAAUUACUGAAGAAAUCCAACAUAAAAACCUGUAAACACUCAGGCAGCUUUUGUUAAAGUUUAUCUAUAAUUCUAUCAUCAUGUUCUGGAACCAGGACUCUACAGAAGUUCCUUCAAUCGGAUACUUGUGUGUUUCUAUUUAAGGCCUCAGGUUUGAACGUACAGCAGAGGAUUAGAAAGGAGUGAUUUUAAUAUUUAAAUCAGUCCAGUAAAUGUUUGGCAUGAAAAUUAUUAAAAUUUUGAUUUAGAUAGAUUUGUGUCAAAUAAUAUUGUAGAGUCUCACUUAAAUAUAUCCAAAUGAGUUCAGUGUAUUUACAUUUUAUAGAAUAUUUGAUUUCUUAAUCUCAAUACUGUAGGGUCUGACCCUAAAUAUUAUAAUAAUGAUGUCAAUUUAAAUAAUAUUUUAGUGCAGAGUCAUAAACUUUAAUCAGCUAAACUUACAUAAUAAAUAUCACUGUACAAUCUUAACCUAAACAUUCAUAUUAUUGAGGUAAAUUUACAUAAAUCAUGAUAUUCUAGAGUCUUAACUGGAAUAUUUCUAACAUUAAUCUUUUUGUAUUGUGCUGAUAAACAACAAUAACCUGACUUUCAGAUAAUAUUUGUUGUCUGUGAUUGUGAGACUAAAUUCCUCCACAUUCUGGAACUGGACUGCAUUUCCCAAAAUGGAAACAUGGACAGAAUUUAACACUUGUAUCCAUGGCAACGCUAACAUUUCUGCUCCUUACCAAAGUUCACAACACAAUUAAAGAUUUGAAUGUAAAACUUCAGGGAUGACUGCUGACCAUAAGUAUUCUGAUCAAUACUUCAUGAUCAAUAUCAGGACAGAUGUUACAACUCCAGCUGUUACAUUAGACUGCAGUUAUUCACAGAGAAAUUAAAACAUCACAUUCCUCAUAAAAACUAGAUGGGACUUUUAUUAAAUAAAGUGUUGGUGAAUAAACAGUGUAAAAAGUGCAAAGCAGCUCCAUUAAAUCAGGAGAUGUGAGACUUCCACAGCAUGGAUCACCAUCUGCUGUGUUGAUUCAUAGCUGAAUGUCACAAUGAACUGAGCUAGAAAAUCUGCUUUGAGCUGCAACAUUACGGUCUGACAAUCCAACACCAUCACAGUUUUCAUCUGGUUGUUUUGCUCCAACAUGCUGUGAAGUUCAGUUUUUACCUGAAUCAAUACAGAGAUUCUAUUUCCAACCAAGACUGGAAUAAAAAUUAGAAUGUUAUGAGGUUAUUAAUGCAACUAAAUCCUUUCAGAUGGAAGGAUUUACUUCUAAGUUCUAAUUCAAUUUCAGUUGGAGCACAUUGCAUUCACAAAGAAAAACAGCGAAACCUUCAUAGCAACAUUUAAUAAACCUAAAACUUCCCUGUUGGCUCAUUGGUGGAGUUUGUUACUGAGCAUCUGAACCUUAAAUCCAGUGAGACGACCAUCUUCAGUCGAGGCCAGUCAGAGAACUUCAAGACCUUCCAUCAGCUGGACCAGAUGUGGCAUCAUCUCCCUCUGAAC
ensembl:lncRNA